UUGGAAAAAGAAUUGAUCCUGGCUCAGGACGAACGCUGGCGGCGUGCCUAAUACAUGCAAGUCGAGCGGAACCAUUGGAGCUUGCUCCUUUGGUUUAGCGGCGGACGGGUGAGUAACACGUGGGCAACCUGCCCUGCAGAUCGGGAUAACUCCGGGAAACCGGUGCUAAUACCGAAUAGUUUGCGGCCUCUCAUGAGGCUGUACGGAAAGACGGUUUCGGCUGUCACUGCAGGAUGGGCCCGCGGCGCAUUAGCUAGUUGGUGGGGUAACGGCCCACCAAGGCGACGAUGCGUAGCCGACCUGAGAGGGUGAUCGGCCACACUGGGACUGAGACACGGCCCAGACUCCUACGGGAGGCAGCAGUAGGGAAUCUUCCGCAAUGGACGAAAGUCUGACGGAGCAACGCCGCGUGAGUGAAGAAGGUUUUCGGAUCGUAAAACUCUGUUGUGAGGGAAGAACAAGUACCAACGUAACUACUGGUACCUUGACGGUACCUCACCAGAAAGCCAGGGCUAUCAA
rnacentral:rRNA from 1 species